rnacentral:rRNA from 1 species
UACGUAGGGGGCAAGCGUUGUCCGGAUUUAUUGGGCGUAAAGAGCGUGUAGGCAGUCAGGUAGGUCCGUUGUGAAAACUCGAGGCUCAACCUCGAGACGCCGAAUGGAAACCAUCUGACUAGAGUCCGGAAGAGGAGAGUGGAAUUCCUGGAUGUAGCGGUGAAAUGCGGCAGAUAUCAGGAAGAACACCCGUGGCUAAGGCGGCUCUCUAGACGGUACUGACGCUGAGACGCGAAAGCGUGGGGAGCGAACAGG